CCGUUGAAACAUCAGUUCUCGUAUGAUCACUGAAGUUAAGUAAGGUUGAGGCUGGUCAGUACUUAGAUGGGUAACGAAUUGGGAAUACCAGGUGCAGUA